rnacentral:lncRNA from 1 species
UUGUUGUUUCACAAACAUAUAUAUACAAGCGACAUUCUGAAGUUGUCGUUAUUUGCUGUCUGUCGUUCCGAGGUUGUCGUUAUUUGCUGUCUGUCGUAUUUGUGUUUUCGUCAAUUGGUUUGUGCAUAGAUCGGGUAACAAGUUUUAUCGUUUGAUUUUUUUAAAAGUUUGUCAUGAUUUGCAUAUCUUACUUUAAGGUAUUACUUUUGCCUAUUAUUGAAGGCGAAAGGCGAGAUACAGUUUAUUAUGUUAACGUUUUUAUUUUCAUCUCUGGUGUAAAGAUC